UGGCAGUUUCUGUAAAUUGGAUGUCUCUUC
rnacentral:piRNA from 1 species